AGGGCAGACAAACCAAACAAAACUAGAAGCAGUACGUGAUGAAUGGAAUGCCUUGACUCCAUCUUCCUUCUUGGUCUAUUCGUUGUUGCUGUAGUCCUGUAGCCUAUUUAAGCUCUGAAAAUGAUCCACCACACAAAAUACCCUUCUGGGUAUCCGUGAUUCUGACGUAUUAAAAGAUUACAGAGAAGAACAAACUCACAAAUUGAGUUUGUUACACCGUGAGCUCACUCUGUUCACUACUGCACAUCUUGUUAUGGGUACUGACUUAGAUAUUUUUGUAUAUUUCUGUGUAUAUAUAACUGUAUAUAUAUAUAUAAACCAAGAUAGUGGGGAUUGUUGAAGAUGAACAAAGAGAGUUUGCUUGAAGAAGAGAAGAUGAAAAAGUAAAGCAAAA
rnacentral:misc_RNA from 1 species